CUAAAGUGAUAUGUAAGUCACAUGGGGGUGUUUAGGCAGAGCUGUACAACACUUGUCAAUGAAUGCCAAUCAUAGGAAGAUUUAGAGCUUGUUUCUGCUCACUUUAGAAAUGUUGAACUUCACAUCUCUUAAUUAGGAACUUCCCAGGACAAUGCUCUUUUAGGAACAAGUGUUCCUAUACGACUUCACUGGUUGGUUGAGCUCAAGCAUCAUUCAAUUACCAUGUCUUUUAGUCUUUCCUGGAAUGCUCAUUACAUAUCUGCAGUUCCGGAGACAAGUCUCUAUUUCAGAUCCUUUGGUUCCCUUGUACAAUGACUGGAUGUGGGAUAUGGCAGUAGUUAUAGCUUUUCCAAUGACAUUUUUCAGUCUAUUAAUCAUUGUUUUAGGCAUGACGCUGAGAGGACAUAAAGAACAAGAUAAAUACACUAUACAAAGUGACAGAGAUGCAAUCCACCAACUGUAGAAAUGAGAAACACGACAGAACAAAUGAGAAAAAUUCUUCAAUAAUUAUGUUGCAAGCAUAUACAGCUUCAGUGUAAUCCCUGCCAAUGUCUCCAUGAAAGUUUCUAUAGAAAUAAAAAAUCUGUC
ensembl:lncRNA